rnacentral:rRNA from 1 species
AUUGAACGCUGGCGGCAUGCCUUCCACAUGCAAGUCGAACGGCAGCACGGGAGCAAUCCUGGUGGCGAGUGGCGUACGGGUGAGCAAAGUAUCGGAACGUGCCCAGUCGUCGGGGACAACGUAGCGAAGGGUAAGCUAAUACCGCAUACGAUCGAUGGAUCAAGGCGGGGGAUCGUCCGACCUCGUGCGAUUGGAGCGGCCGUUAUCAGAGUAGGGAGUUGGUAGGGUAAAGGCUCACCAAGCCGACGAUCUGUAGCUGGGCUGAGAGGACGGCCAGCCACACUGGGACUGAGACACGGACCAGACUCCUACGGGAGGCAGCAGUGGGGAAUUUUGGAGAAUGGGCGAAAGCCUGAUCCAGCCAUGCCGCGUGCAGGAUGAAGGCCUUCGGGUUGUAAACUGCUUUUGUACGGAACGAAAAGGUUUGGGCUAAUAAGCUGAGCUCAUGACGGUACCGUAAGAAUAAGCACCGGCUAACUACGUGCCAGCCGCCGCGGUAA